UGGGGAAUUUUGGACAAUGGGCGCAAGCCUGAUCCAGCCAUGCCGCGUGCGGGAAGAAGGCCUUCGGGUUGUAAACCGCUUUUGUCAGGGAAGAAAUCUUCUGAGUUAAUACCUCGGGAGGAUGACGGUACCUGAAGAAUAAGCACCGGCUAACUACGUGCCAGCAGCCGCGGUAAUACGUAGGGUGCAAGCGUUAAUCGGAAUACUGGGCGUAAAGCGUGCGCAGGCGGUUUUGUAAGACAGAGGUGAAAUCCCCGGGCUCAACCUGGGAACUGCCUUUGUGACUGCAAGGCUUGAGUGCGGCAGAGUGGGAUGGAAUUCCGCGUGUAGCAGUGAAAUGCGUAGAUAUGCGGAGGAACACCGAUGGCGAAGGCAAUCCCCUGGGCCUGCACUGACGCUCAUGCACGAAAGCGUGGGGAGCAAAACAGGAUUAGAUACCCCUGGUAGUCCACGCCCUAAACGAUGUCAACUGGUUGUUGGGAAGGUUCCUUCUCAGUAACGUAGCUAACGCGUGAAGUUGACCGCCUGGGGAGUACGGCCGCAAGGUUGAAACUCAAAGGAAUUGACGGGGUCAUAGCUGUUUCCUG
rnacentral:rRNA from 1 species